rnacentral:rRNA from 1 species
AAGCGCUUGCAACCAGACUUGCAUGCAGUCGAUCAUCCGAUGUUCUCACCGGUGCACUCGAUUGUAUUCAGGCUAGCAUCGGUUUUGGUGGCUAGAUAAAGGCCUUGGGAAUGUAGGUCCCUUUUGGGAGUGUUAUAGCCCAUUGUGUAAUACCCUGUGGUGGACUGAGGUUCGCGCAUCUGCAAGGAUGCUGGCGUAAUGGU